rnacentral:rRNA from 1 species
GUGGGUAACCUGCCCAAGAGAUCGGGAUAACACCUGGAAACAGAUGCUAAUACCGGAUAACAACAGAUGAUGCCUAUCAACUGUUUAAAAGAUGGUUCUGCUAUCACUCUUGGAUGGACCUGCGGUGCAUUAGCUAGUUGGUAGGGUAACGGCCUACCAAGGCGAUGAUGCAUAGCCGAGUUGAGAGACUGAUCGGCCACAUUGGGACUGAGACACGGCCCAAACUCCUACGGGAGGCAGCAGCC